rnacentral:lncRNA from 1 species
CUUCUUGCCUGCAGGUCACAUGGCACCUGCAUAUACUGACUGUUGUGAGCCUUUCAUCACAGCAGGGAGCCUCAACCUCCUGCUGGCAGAUCAGGGUCCAGCUGGUGGCAGGGAAGAUCCUCAGUGUGGGCUGGAGAUUUAGUCCCCACCCCCACAGCCAGGAUCAUGGAAGCUCGCCUGGGUUAGGAUAGGCUCAGAAGCCAGGCAGAGGUGGAUAGCUUGCAUAGGGACCAGGAGCCCCUGCUCUGGGCCCACUCCUGGUUCUAGCUGUGCAGGAGACCUGCCACUCCCGCCAAGCUGGCCUCAGCUCCAAGCUGAAUUGGGUUCUAGCAGCACCUCCCCCAAAUCCCCAAGAUCCCCCCUCCCCCUCCUCCUCCCCCCCCCCCCUGGAAGCAGAGGAACUGUUGGAUUCCCACGUGGGACCCUGGGAGGGCAGUUGGAGCAGCUGCAGCAAGGACGAGAUACUAAGCACACCCAGAGCAACCCUCAAAGCUUGGGGGCCACCGCUGCUAUUAGAACUCAAUCAUCUCCAGAUCCUGUAUGGAGGCCACGUGAUGUAAAGCUAGCAGUCAGGGGGACACUGUUUCCUCAAGUGAAGAAUGGGAAAAUAAUUGGAUGUACUGGGUUCCUUUUCAUUGGGAGUUUUCAAGAAAAGCCUGAAUUGCUUUUUAUCAGGAGGACAGGCCUUAUGUGA